CGCUAUAUUUAUUUGUAGGUAAUUACCUACCGUUUUAAUUAAACACCGACUGCGUUUUUUGCCGUAGGUAAUUACCGACCGAUUUUCGGAUAUCACCAACCGCGCGACCGUCGGUAAAUUACUACUAGUAAUUUCGGAAAUAUUAACACCCACGUUUCCCGGCCUUUUUACUCUAUAGCAAUCAGUAAAUUAAAAAAUAACCCUAACAUUCCCUUGGAGAAACCGACGUCUCCUUCUCCUUCACCAUCAUCGUUGCCGGUUUUCCUUCAUCUCCACAGUGUUGUUGUCGCCGGUUUCAGGUAUUCCUUCAUCUCCAUAGUGUUGUCGUCGCCGGAUUUUUUUUACUUCUGAUUUCAAUUGCAAUUCUGAAGUUCUAUUGUGCACCUGCCGCAUCACCCUCGCAAUGGGUCAACUGCACAACCACCGCGCGCGCGCACCGUCGUUUCUUGGUUUGUUUCGCCAAUCCACAACAGAAUUGAGUAUCAUGAAGCGAAGAGAGCGUAGUUAGAUGUAUGAUAGGCAUGAGGGACGCUUUCUCAAGACUGAGUUUAUGAAUGGAAGGUGUUGUGGAACCUGGACAUUGUCAAGGUUCAAUUUUUAAGGCCGAGUAUGCAAGAAGGAUGGCUGCAAAGAAUGGAGGAGUCUUGCCAAAAGCUGUUGAUAUUUACUUGGAGACACAUUCAAAGGAACGACAAUCAGGCCAAGACAAGCAACUCAUUGGGUCCAAAUGAUGACCCACGUGACCCACGUGAUCCUCCUGGUGGUGGAUUGGGAUUUCCUUGUAGUACUUAGACUUAUAGCCUUUUAUUAGUAUAUAAUAUAUAUUUUGAGAAAAAUGAUGUUUAAUUUAGGUUGUUGGAACUACUAUUAGAUCUAAGAUCUAUAUUGUGGAGAAUAUGAUGUUUAAUAUAAGUUGUACCAAACCUAUUAUUUUGAUAUGGAAUGAAGAAUUAGUUUAUUUUAA